AACGAACGCUGGCGGCAGGCUUAACACAUGCAAGUCGAACGGGUGUAGCAAUACAUCAGUGGCAGACGGGUGAGUAACACGUGGGAACCUUCCUAGGGGUACGGAACAACUCAGGGAAACUUGAGCUAAUACCGUAUACGUCCGUAAGGAGAAAGAUUCAUCGCCCCUAGACGGGCCCGCGUCGGAUUAGGUAGUUGGUGGGGUAACGGCCUACCAAGCCUACGAUCCGUAGCUGAUCUGAGAGGANGAUCAGCCACACUGGGACUGAGACACGGCCCAGACUCCUACGGGAGGCAGCAGUGGGGAAUCUUGGACAAUGGGCGCAAGCCUGAUCCAGCCAUGCCGCGUGAGUGAAGAAGGCCUUAGGGUUGUAAAGCUC
rnacentral:rRNA from 1 species